AUACUCGAUGAGAAUACAUAAUUGUACUUAAAACAGAUUAUAUGUUGAGAAUUAUAUCAUCUGUUUUAAGUACAGAAAUAUAUAAUAUUAAUAGUAUAAUUUUCAUGAUUCCAGGUUCCCGGGUGACGAUGAAAAAAGGAGAAUUUGGGCUUCUCUUCUAGGAUGGUUGAGUAUCUGCCCAAAGAAAUUAAUUUUUAUUUGUUCGGAUCAUUUCGACUCAAAUGAUCUAGUGACCAGAGCACAUGGAAAAGUUUAUUUGAAAAGAGAUGCCAAUCCGUUACCUCAGCAUUCGUUAUUUGAAUCUUCUAACUUGAGUGACCACUCCUCUAGGACAGAAAGCAGCCCCAAUGAACAAGAGUCACAAGAGAAGGAAAUGCUGAUUUCAAGUUAUAAUGCUGAUGAGAACAAAUCUGAUGAGAAUAAA